GUUUGGAAUAUUACACGAAGAAGUUAGUAGACCCUGACAAAGAUGGAAGGAGUCCUUGGGCCUGACAACACACACAGUUAAAGUGUUGCCACCUGCCCAGUGCCAUCCCAUAGUAAGCUUUU
ensembl:snRNA predicted gene, 24191